rnacentral:lncRNA from 1 species
AGAAUUUUACUUGCAAAUUUGAGACGAAUUCAAAAGAAAUUUCACAAGUAAUUCGCAGGUAUAUUUACUUUUACCCAGUAAAGCAUCCGAGUAAUACAUAAGACAUGUCACAUAACACUUUUGUAGCAAAAUGUUAUACUAACUUAAGUCCAAACUAACUUAUGCAAAAAAUUAACUAACUCAAGUCCUAAAAAACAGAUACAGUCCUACUCCAUAUCAGUACCAUCAUCACCAUUAUCAGUAUCAUUGCUGUUUUGAGAUAAUGAAAAUGGACGGGAAGAAGAGCCAGCAAAUCUUAGAUGUUGCAUUAAAGCCGCUACUUGUUUUCUAGUCUCCAUCAACUCUUGUUUCAUUUCUAGUUUCUCUUGUUCAUAGCCAGCAAAUCCUAGAUGUUGCAUUAAAGCCGCUACUUGUUUUCUAGUCUCCGUCAACUCUUGUUUCAUUUCUAGUUUCUCUUGUUCCAUUUCUAGUUUCUCUUGUUCAUGUUUAUGCAACGACUCGCUAAGUGCAUGAAUCUGACUUCUUAAAGCAUUGACAUCUCCUGAAUUUCCAGGAGGCCUAACAGAUGGAACCAAUGUUUUGGUAACAGAUCCGAGACCAAAAACCCUUCCCUUUUUAUGUCCAAUUGAAUCUACCCAUAUAUCCAAGUCACAUGGCAUUUCUAUGGAUUGUUGAUUAUCGCCACUAUUCUCUCCUGAAUCAAACUGUGAAGAUAAUUCCAAUUUUCUUUGUUCAAAUUUCUUCUGCAUCACAUUCAGAAAAAAAAAAAAAAUAACUACUAAAAAAUGACAAGAUAGAACCAAUUAAUUUAAGAAGCUAAGAAAGCCGGGCAACAAGAGAAUGACAAAAAAAAAUUGAAUCACAGCACUAAUGGAAAAGUUGGUUUUGGUGGAGGACAUGGCAAUGAAAUGAUAAAGAGGUCUUAAAUUCAACUCUCUCCUCUCCACUAACAUUACACACUAACUAACUACUAACAUUUGUUAUUUAGAAAAACGUUAACCAUCGAUAACGGAAAUUAAAUCAAAUGUUAUCUCAUAUAAUACAAGAUCAUUUAUAUGUGAUGAAGAUGGUAAAACUGCAAUAAUAUAGUCUAUAGAAAUGAUAUUAAUAUGAACAAUAUUACAGCCAUCUCAUCAGUUUCAUAAAUAUACUCAACUACACGGACUAUGUCGGUAUGUUUUUAUAGUCCGGAGAUCAUUUAUAUGUCCUUAAGCUUCACCUUGCACUCUUCCGCAAUUUUAUUUUUACAUAUUAAGGGAUUUAUAUGCCAAAUUACUGAAUGAGAAAAUUAAAAUUGCAGAAGAGUGUAAGGUGAAGCUUAUAACAGUAAUCAAAGAUGACAAAAAUAAAACUUGACAAAACAUAUAUUGAUUCCAGCAAAACAGAUAUAUAAAUCCCAUAUGCAUGUUGUGUACCAGAAUCAAGAGUUAGUAUAAAGAAAAUACCAAAUAUGUCUGUAUUAGAAAAAAGAGAACUUACAUAAGCAGACUCUGCAGAUGGACCCACCCAACUUUGAUCCUUCUUUCGAUGCGUACGAAAAUAAAACUCAGCCAUGGAUGGAUCUGUCCCAUUUGCCUCCUUCUGUAAUUGAUAAAAAUACUUUUGAUGUUAUUAUUAAAAUUAUUAGCAUUUAAAACUAAAUGCAAAACAUAAUAGUAAACUAAUAAUACCAUUCGUUUCCAAUGCAAACGAUGAGGAAUUGAUCCACCAGUGUGAAGAGAAGCAUCAGCCAUAGCCUCCGAAUUUCUUUUAUUUAUUUCAGAUAUUCUCUUGUAUUUUGAGGUCUCCCAAUGUGCCUUCAACUGUGCCCACACACACUCUUCCAUCCAAAUUGGUUUGUGAUCUAAAUUUCUUCGAGCAUCUUGCAUUAAUUGAACCAUUUUAGCUGAACCCCUUUUCUCAAAGUUACGUCGCACCAGGUCUUUAUGUUCAGGUGGCCAUGUAAACAUUGACUACAUUGAUUUUGACAACAACAAAAAAAAUUAUUACAAUACACAUUUUUUAACUAAUAUCAAAACAAUUAAAUGAAAGAUUGAAAUUUGAUUACUUUAAAUAUAUCAAACCACGAAUCUCGUUGCUUUUUAGAUAUCUGCUUCCACGAUGGUAUUCCCUCAGCCAAGUAAGUACGUAUGAUUGAACCUAUUGCCUUAACUACCAAGGUGUGUUGAUCAAACCUGUGUAAAACAAUAAAAAUUAAUUACAAAAACAUUAUAACAACGAAUAUAUAUGUUAAGCUGUUAAAAGGACUCACCCAUCUCCUUCUGGAAGUAUAGGGAUUUUGUUCGAAGUUAAGUUGACUGUUGAAAAUUCUUGCCAUCGAAGGACUUGGGUAGGAAUGGUUUGAGAUAUGACAGGGUGAGGUUCAGACCGAGGUGUCACCGAUUGAGGUUGAGGUCGAGGUGGAGUGGAUUGAGGUUGCAUGCUGAGUUGAGGUUGAUUGAGUGGUGUGGAUUGAGGUUGCAUGUGGAGUUGAGGUUGAGUGGGUGGAGUGGGCUGGGGUCGCGGGCGAAGUUGAGGUUGAGUGGGUGGAGUGGGUUGGGGUCGCGGGCGAAGUUGAGGACAUGAUUGAGUGGGUUGGGGUUGCGCACAAAGGUUUAGUGGUUUAGUGGGUGGAGGUCGUUUAAGUUUAGUUCGAGGUUUAGUUCGAGAUGGAGGUUGAGUAGCUCCGUUAGAAAAAAUUUGAAGGGUAUCAGAUGGACUUACCAACAGAGCACGGGUUUGUGCAGAUUUCUUUUUUCUUAACAUUUUAGCUGGCUGCAGAGUUUUCUUUGUAUUGCUAGCAUUUGAAGGAAUUAUCAAGGGAGCAUGGGUUUCUGCACGUUUCUUUUUUCUUGACAUUUUAGCAGGCUGCAUUGUUCUCUCUGUAUCCCUAGAAUUUGAAGGAAUUACAUUCCCAUUGUGGUUUGACUCUCCCAUUAACUUUAACACGUCAUUGAAACAAUCUUGUGACAUGUUGUGUUUAGAUCGUAAAUUCAACAUUGUAAUAGCAGCAGACAAGUUUGAUGUAUUUUUGUACCCUGGCCGUAAUAAAGGUUGAUUAGUCGAAUUCAACAUAUCAUACAUCUCAGUUGCUUCCACAUUUGGAGGCACCCCUUCAUUUUGUACAAAAUUUUGGUCAUUAAGAUCAGCAUCAUCAAACCCAAUAUCUUCUUGACUACUGUAAGGAAAUGCAUUUGAGUCCAUAUCAACAUCAAAAUUCAUUUGAGGAACUUCUUCUCCAUGGGAUGUCCAAUACCAAUAUCCGGGUGUAAACCCUUUUUGACGAACAUGAGCAUUCACUCCCUUCGGAGUUAGGCAUCUCUCAUUUUUACAUAGCUUACACGGACAACUUAUUACACCCUCAUUCAAACAUUGUGGUUGUUGACAAGCGAAAUUGAGAAACUCUUUGAGGCCUUGCAAAAAUUCAGGUGUAAACCCUUUUCGACCAACAGUACGCCGAUUAUACAUCCAUGCCCGAUGUUCCGGCUGUUCCAUUUUCAGAUCAGCUGCAAAAAUACUGUUCGAUAACUAGUUUUUCAUGCAUAAUGUGUAUAGGCAGUGUGUACAGAUAUCAUAUUAAUAAUCAAAACCAUAAAACAUGACUCAAACAAUACAUAUCUCACUUAAUUUAUACAUGGCACACAGCUCAUCGCAUUAAAGAAGACACUUAUUAACUUUGGUUAAAGUUAAUCACAGAGUAAUCAUUUCCGGAUAGCGGCGCGGAGCGCUGACCCCAAAAGUGGGAUACCGGGAUAGCUAUAGCGGAAUGACCGCUCUAUUUGAUCAUUUUUUGACAGAUUACAGAUGAUAAUUAUCAACAUAUAUUGAAUAUAAAAUAAAACAAAUAACUCAACUCAUAAAAUAUUCAUAAAUCAAAGCACACAUGACUCUUGAAGUUCAUAAACAGAUAGCGGGCCAGAAACGGUAACCACUCUGCUCCGCUAUCAUGUUAUUUAUCCUAUAGCGGCCGCUAUAGUGUUCUGCACCACUAAGGUUCUUCCUAAAGGGGUCGGCCUCUGCUCCGCUAUAGCAGGAUAGCCCCGCUAUUGACUACUCUGGUUAAUCAUCAAACCUCAAGUCUUUAGUUUCACAAAAUUUUAGCUGCAUUUCACAUUAGUUUCCUAGUGCAUUAACAUGUGAAGUCAUAAAAAGUUUCUUCUCUAUCUAUCCAACAAGGAUAAUUCAAGAUUCAAUAUAAUGAUUAUUAUUUUAAUCAACUAUACUUAAUCACUCAUCAUAUUAAACUUCAAACAGAAAACUUAUAAUAUUCACUAAUUUAGCUUUUUUUAUGAGAAGCUUCACUAAUUUAACUUGAAUACAACCGAAAGAGCAAACAUCUUUUUAACGUCAAAUGUUUGUUGUUAUUUUGUUCUUGGGGGAAAUAGAACAAAUGACCUCCAGAACAUACGUUUAAUCAUACAUGCUACUAAACUAUUAAAAAAUAUAAAACAUAUAACAUAGCCUAUGUUUGGUUUUGCGGAGGAAAAAAAUAAUUGAGUGAAUUGAUUCGGUAAAAUUAAUUCUGGUUAAAAAUGAGUUGAAUGAAAGUGAAUUAUGUUCGAAUAACUAUGCAAAACUGAGCUGAACAGUGAAUCUCAAUGUAAAAAUUACAUUAAACUCAAAAACUAUAAAUUCUAGCUUCAAGUAGAAUCAAGCAUAAUUGAUUCUACUUUAAAAGAGCCAAACACCGCAGAAUCAUUCCAAAGUCAAUUCUACCCCUCUAGAAUUGUUUUCCCCUCUACCAAAAGCUAAACAAAACAUAAUGUAAUAGUAUUCAAUACCAAUUAAUUGGAAUUUAAGCAAUAAUAGUAUACAAAUAGUUCAGACUCUCAUAGAAGCAAUAUAUACAAAUAGUUCAGAGUUCAAACUAUAAAUCAAAGACGAAAAUAGGCAGGAAAAAAAGCCAGAAAAAUCGGCAGGAAAAAAAGCCAGAAAAAUCGGCAGGAAAAAAGACGUAAGAAAAUCGGCAAGAAACAAAGAUAAAAAAAAAUUCAUGCUCGCUAGAUAUGCAAUGCAAUACAAGUGAUAGCAAUAACAGGAAAAUCGAGGAAGAGGAAGAAUGAGAUUAAGCUACCUUCGAUGACAUAAACAGUGCCAAGGAUCGGAAAUUUUAGUCUGAGAAGAAUGAAUUCAACUGCGGAUUCCAGAAGUUGGGAACUGAAGUAAGAGAGAAUUGCGAAUGCGGAGGAGAAUUAGGGUUUCGUUUUACCGGGAAAGGUAUGGCUUUUUAUUUUAUAAAAAAGAAUAUUAAAAAGAAUGAGAAGUAUGAAACCAAGGGAUAUAAAAUUUUUUUAGCCUUAAAUGCAUUUCUCGAUUUUUUUUAAAAAAAUAAUUAGUUUUUUCAAUUUAAAUUUCAAAAUAAUUAAUUUUUUAUUUUUUUUUCAAAAUAAUCACUUUCAAAGGAGACACCUUUAACCUUGGCGCAUAUUUGCAAAUUCAAAGCAUUUAGUCGUCACAUGCAUUGUCGCACACAUGUAUUGAUACCACAUGUAUUGGUGUAUGCGUCAAUGUAAGUGGCGUAUGUAUCUUUCAUUUUUUUAAAAAUUUUAUAUUUUUUAAUUAUAAUUAAUUAAAUUAAAUACUGAAAUUAAAAAUUAUAUUAUAUUAUAAAAUAAAAAUACAUAAAAUUGAUAAGAAAUUCAAUGACUCGUCCGAUUAAAACACUAUCAUGAUAAUGAGUCUAUUGGACUACUAAUGUAUUUAAUAGGUUUUAAUUUUAAAGGUUUUAACUAAUUAAUUAGUUUAAAAACAUAUUAAUUUAUUUUAUAAAAUAUUAAUUCAUUUAAAAACAUACUAAUUAAUAAUUAUCUUAGUCAUUCUUGUCACCUAAUUAAAAAAUAUUUUUUAUCUCAAUCAUGCCACAUCUGUAUAAGUGGAGGGGGCCACAAAAAUCAAAACACAAUCAAAACACAAUCAAAACAUAUUAAUUUAUUUUAUGUAUUUUUUAUCCAAAAAAAAGAAAGAAAAAAAAAAUAUAUAUACAUAUAAUUAUUAUCUUAUUUUAAAUCUAUUAUCAUUAGUACUAUUAUGCUAUUUAAACCAAACAUUCCAAAAGGCAUAAAUUAUUGUUAUUAUUACUAUAAAAAAAUGAAAAAAAGAUGUUCUUAUUUAUUAAGUUACUACUAACUAGGUAAUUAUUAGAAAAAACCAAAAAUAUUAUUUUUGAUCAUUGCUAAUUAUUUUAGAAAAAUCAUUAUUUAUUAUUUAGGAAAUUAUUAAUCUCAACUUUCCCCAUUUUAAGACAUUUAUUUCUUUUUUCUUUAUUAAAAAAUAGUCAAAAAAUCAUUAAAAAAAUAUAAUAAAAAUGUUAUGUGAAAUAAUUGAAUUUUAGUUAUUUAAUCUCUAUUUUAGUUUAAUAAUAAUACAAAAUAAAAGAGAAAGAGUUUUACUUGUUCUAAUUUCCAAAAAAAUUUAAAGAGUAAAUUAGAUUUAUUAGAUUUAUUUUUAUUAGUAAUUAAGAAAAUUUAAUAAAGGUAUUUGGGUGAUUUUUGUCAAACAAGUAAUUUUACAAUUUUUAUGAAUAUAAAUGUGUGAUUUUUCAUUUUAUAUUUUUUCCCUUUUUUUAGUUUAAGUUAGAAUAAAAAUCAUUUUUCAUUUUUCAUAAAAAAUCAAAAAAAGAUUGCAUUUUUAUUUAUUUAAUUAUUUUUAAUUUUUAAAUUUUUUUUUUAUUAUUAAAUUUUUAACUAUUUUAUUUUUUAAAUCCCAAAAUUAAUUAAAAGUCCAAAAAAAUCAAAAUGUGUUAUUAUCUUAAUAAAUGAAAAAUAACUAGAAUAUUUUUAUCUUUAAUAUAAAUUUACCUUAAUUUCCUUUUGAUCUUGUAAUUAUUCUUUUUAAUUUCUAAAAUUAUAGAUCUAACUUUUGUUAUAAAAAUGAUCUAGUUGUAUCCCUUGAUUUUUACUAUCUAGUUGUAUCCAAAACUUUCAUUAUAAUUUUAAUAUAAAAUAUUUUAAAAUUGACCCGAAAUAUGAGAAAAUGGAGAUUGAUCUUUUAUUUAUAAUCAUAUUUUUAUUAUAUGAAGACGAAUAUAUAUAUAUAUAUAUAUAUAUAUAUAUAUAUAUAUAUNNNNNNNNNNNNNNNNNNNNNNNNNNNNNNNNNNNNNNNNNNNNNNNNNNNNNNNNNNNNNNNNNNNNNNNNNNNNNNNNNNNNNNNNNNNNNNNNNNNNNNNNNNNNNNNNNNNNNNNNNNNNNNNNNNNNNNNNNNNNNNNNNNNNNNNNNNNNNNNNNNNNNNNNNNNNNNNNNNNNNNNNNNNNNNNNNNNNNNNNNNNNNNNNNNNNNNNNNNNNNNNNNNNNNNNNNNNNNNNNNNNNNNNNNNNNNNNNNNNNNNNNNNNNNNNNNNNNNNNNNNNNNNNNNNNNNNNNNNNNNNNNNNNNNNNNNNNNNNNNNNNNNNNNNNNNNNNNNNNNNNNNNNNNNNNNNNNNNNNNNNNNNNNNNNNNNNNNNNNNNNNNNNNNNNNNNNNNNNNNNNNNNNNNNNNNNNNNNNNNNNNNNNNNNNNAUAUAUAUAUAUAUAUAUAUAUAUAUAUAUAUAUAUAUAUAUAUAUAUAUAUAUAUAUAUAUAUAUAUAUAUAUAUAUAUAUAUUAUCUUCAUAUUAUAAAAAUAUCAUUAUAAAUAAAAAAACCAAUCUCAAUAUUACCGUAUUUCUGGUCUAAUUUUAAAAUAUUUUAUAUUAGAAUUAUUUUAAAAGUUUCAAAUACACCUAAAUAGUACUAAAUUUAAAUUAAAGAAAAUAGUUCUUACAAUAAAAGAAUUAAACAAAAUAGUUAAAUAUGUUUUUAAUAUAUAUUAGAAUAUAGGUAUUUGCAUAUAUUUAAUAUAAAUCAUGAUAAUAAAUUCUAAUAAAUUUGUGUUCUAUUCAUCUUUGUAUUAUAAUUAUCAUUAUUAAUAAAAGAAACCAGUCUCUAUAUUUUCCUAUUCUGGGUAUAAAUUAAAAAAGAUUUUAUAGUAAGAAUUUUAAAAUAUUUUAAUAGAAAAUUAUUUUAAAAGUUUCAAAUACACCGAAAAAGUAAUAAAUUUAAAUUCAACAAAAUAUUUCUACAAAAAGAAGAAUUAAAAAAAUAGAGAAAUAUUUUUUAAUUAUGCAUUAUAAUAUAUGUAUUUCCAUAUAUUUUAAUAAAAUCGUAAUAAUAAAUUCAAAUCAAUUAAAUAUAUAUUUUGAAUUAAUUAUUUUACAAAAUUGACCAACUAAUACUAUACAUAUUCCAUUCAUCCCCUCCUUGUAACAAAUUCAUUUGACUAGAUUCAUCCCUCAUUGUAACAAUAUCAUUAUAAAUAGCAAAUAAAUGUCAUUAUAUUUUUAUCCCACAUCCAAUUUUGAAAGAUGAAGAUGAAUCACAUUAUUCUUUGUUGUAUUGCUCUUCUCUUAUCAUAUAUACCUAACAGUAUUUCUGUUAACAAUGAUUUCUGUGUAGCAGAUUUAUCACUUCCAAAAACUCCUUCAGGAUAUCAAUGCAAGUCAGAAAAAGAUGUAACAGUCGAUGAUUUCGUCUUCUCUGGCUUUGUAGCUGCAAAUGCAACAAAGCCUUUUAAUACUGGAAUAACCUUCGUGAAUGUCGAUAAAUUACCCGGUCUUAAUGGACUUGGUAUCGCUACAUUGAGAGGGGACAUCAGUAUAAACGGAAGUGUGCCAUUGCACUCUCAUCCUGAUGCAACUGAAUUGGUUAUUAUUGUUGAAGGUGAAGUGAAGGUUGGAUUUAUCACACCAAGAAAAGUAUUUUUGAAAGAUUCUAAACCUGGUGAUGUUAUAGCUAUUCCAAAAGGACAGUUGCAUUUUGUAGUAAACAGUGGUGCUAAAAAAGCUGUUUUUUUUGCAGCUUUUAGUAGCUCAGAUCCUAGCACGCAAGUAGUUGAUUUGCUAUUAUUUGGCAACGAUUUGUCAACCGCUGUUCUUUCACAGACUACACUACUUGAUGUAGCACAGAUUAAAAAGCUUAAGGCUGCGUUUGGUGGCAAGAACUAGAAUUGCUUACUUCUUUUAAAAUUAUUCAAUGUUGAGUAUUAUAUCAAUCAUGUUACAAUUCUAGUAUCAUAAUAAUAAUAAUAUAAAUAUAUUAAUUUUAAUAUUUAUAGUAAUAUAGAUAUAAUGGGCAAAUUGGAGGCAUAUAAUAAAAUUUUGUAAAAAUUAAAUUAAAAAAUAAUAAUAAAAAUUAAAUUAAAAAAUAAUUAAUGAAAAUUCAAAAAUUAAUAUUUAAAAGUUAAAAAUUCAAAUAACAAUAUAAAUAUUUAAUAGAGAAUAUCAGUCAUCCAUAUUAUUUCACCGCUCUUAUCUUCUUCAUUCCCGCUUACUGCAAAAAUGAAAGCAUUAUAUGAAAUUUGUUAAACCAAGUCUCAUACACUUCCUUAUGCUUUUUCACAAGUUCUCCGAAUGUCUUUUAAUUUUUUUAUAUAAUGCAUGGAAUCAUGAAGGUACAUGUGGGGUAUGUGGGACGCGGGAUCGCCUAGGCUGUUGGGAUGAAGAGGGUACAUGUGUAGGAAAUAGAAAGCUAGGUCCCUAAGCUCCAUGUAUGAUGAGGGUACAUUUGGGAGAUAUGGAAAGUUAGAUCCUCCAGGAUAUUGAUAUAAUGAUGGUCCAUGUGUCGGAUAUGGAAAGUUAGACCCCCUGGAUGUUGGUAUGAUGAAGGUACAUAUGGGGUUACAUGCUGGUAUGAUUAUAGUAUAUGUCUAGAAGGGCGGAUAAAACCUGGUGGAUAAUCGGGUGGAAACAUAGUGAAAUUCUUGGUGGUGAGUAAGAGGUGGAUAAGUGGUCAUAGUUGGACGAGCCACCUGACUAGACUGUGGCAAAGAAAAAUACACAUACGAAGGAGCCAUAUCUUCUUGUGAAAGGACUUACCCUUAACUUUAUAAGAUAUCGGCCAUAUUUUGUCUAUUUUGAGAGUAGAAUAUAAAAUAGUUAAUAAAUCAACAGAAGUAAAAAGAGUAAAUACAUUAGUUCAAGCAAUAUAUUAUCCAGGGGCGGCCCUGUGGGGGUGCGAGGAGUGCUACUGCACAGGGCUUCCGACUUUUUAGGGUCCCGAAUUUGAUCGAUAGGGUCAAUAUAAAUAUAAGACUAACAAAUAUAUAUCACUAAUUCCAUUUUAACAUAAGAUUGUAGUGUAGCCUAGUGGUAGCCAUACUAUUUUGGUAGUAAUACAACCUAGGUUCUAGGUUCGAUUCCUUGUUCUUACAUUUUAUGUAUAUUUUUACUUUUAUAAAAAAAUGUCACCAUAUUGUUUUUAAAUUUAAUACACUUCAUUAUUAAUAUUGUGGAAAUUGUUCAAAGAUUUUUUUCUUUUAUUAAAUGGUAUGAACUUUUUUUUAUAAAUAGAAGAUGAUAAGAGAAGAAAGACGCGAAUAACUAAACUUCGAUAAAUCAAAUUUCUACAUAAUAUUUUUUAUCAUCUUUGUUUCUAUAUAUUUAAUUUUAUUUAGAAUUAAAUAAAAUAUAUAUAUAUUUUAAUUUGUUGUGUUUUCAUCUAUUAAAUAUCUAAUUUUAAAAUAGAACAGGGCCUCAAAAUUGAUUGGGACGACCCUGAUAUUAUCACACAAUAUUUACAAUAUAUCAGCACAAUAUAUAAUAAGUAAAAAUGAGUAAAUACAUUAAUCAAUAUAAUAUACUAUAGAUGAUUAAUUCAAAUUGUGUAUCAUCGUAAUCUUCAUUAUCUUCAUCUAAUCUGACAUUGUCUUCGGAUCCAAGCUAUUCAUGCUCUCCAUCCACAUUAUUUGCUAACAACAAGAUACACACAUCAACUUGUUGAACCUCAAACAUUGUAUCACACAAACUUGUAAUUUAUUUAUGUCGCACCUCGAAAAAAUGGGGAUACGACUUCAAAGCGAAGUGCGAUCGCACGCUCGCAAUGAUGGACUGAACAGAGUCGCCACCGAACUUUAUUUAUUCCUAAAAAGGAAAGGGGAAAAUAUCGGAUAAACCCAAGACAAAGCGACAACUGAUUAUUGGUCGUCGCAAACAAAUCAGGGUUCGGGAGUCGAUUACGCAAGGGGAAGUAUUAGCACCCCUCACGUCCGUUGUACUCAACGCGGAACCAUUAGGUCAGUUGUGUGCGUUAAUUGUUAGUUUGAAAUGUUAGGCUUUUCAAAGUAUUAAGUGGGAAAGAAAGAAAAAAAGGAUGAGAAUAGAAUGUUUUUGAUUUUGACGAAGGACUAAACCUAAGUUUUUUAUUAGUGGGCCUGACAAGAUUUAAAAUCCUGCUCCUACGUAUCUCAAAAGAGAAAAUCAAGGCUUACGUAGUUCUGGGUAGAAAAUGUUGUUUUGUUUGGUCGAUUUCAGCGAAGCUAUACUGUAUAUCGACGAAAACAUUGUUUUACCCAAAACAGAUGAGGAGUGGACGCAUACCACACAUCGAACGGAUUUAUAAAUCUACAUUCGGAAAACGUCCACUUACUCUACUCAACAAUCGUGGCUGAAAUAUUGUUUGGCAUCACCUAAGACAAUAUAUCUUUCGUUUUGAAAAAAAGGUUUUUUUGAUUAACCGCCACAGCGGCGAGAAAAGAAUUGAUUGGUUGAAUGUAUCUUGAGUGUAGGCGAGAACUUGGAUGAGCGAGAUAUACAUCUCGAAUCCUAGCCUCAGGAGUGCAUGGUAUACACCAUUGUUCCAUUUCCACCUUUAUUGAGAAAGUGUUAAAUAAAAUUAGGUAUUUUGGAAUUUAAUUGAGAAAAGGUUUGAAGAAACGCCAUGACAAUUUUAAGACGAUUGCGAGAGUUAAGAUUGCGAGGCAUACGUCUCGAAUCUUAACCUCAGGAGUGCAUGGUAUACACCAUGUUCCAUUCCACCUUUAUUGAAAAAGUGUUAAAUAAGAUUUAGGUAUCUUAGAUUUGAUAACUAGAAGGGUUUGACGAAACCACAUUGACAAUUUUAAAUGAUGGCAGAACUAAGAUAGGCGAGCAUACGCCUCGAAUCUAACCUCAGGAGUCACGGAUACGCCAGUUCCAUUUUCAUCUUUAUUGAAAAAAAUGUUAAAAUAAGAAUUAGGUUUGAGUUUUGUUGUGAAAUGACUUUGACCCUAGAUCAAGUAUUGGUGGACGUUUGAGAAAGAUUUGAAUGAGUUUUUGAAAGAAAGCAAAAGUGGAUAAACUUGAGAUUGAUGGCGAGAGCUUGGAGUGGCGGAAUAUACAUCUCGAAUCCUAGUCUCAAGAGUGCGUGGUAUACACCAUGUUCCCACUUCCAUCUUUAAUUGAAAAAGGUCUUGAAUAUGAAUUAAUAUUUUUGAGUUUUUUAUUAGAAAAAUGGCUUGACGUUGAAUCAAGCGUUUGGUGAAAGUUUGAAGAAAAUGGAAUAGAGAACGGAGAGGGAGAAAUGGAUUGGUUUGUUUAUGGAGAAAAAUACUCGACGUUGGAAUCGAGUCAUAUUUUAUUUUUCUGAAAUGGUGCAUUUAUAUUCUUGUGUUGUAUCUAACUUAAACAGGUCAAAACAAUUUAAGAAAUAAACCAGGUACAAAAUUAUUACAACAACGGAGAGGAAAGGGAGAUCAUUUUGCAAUGGGGUUAAAUAUUCAUUUGAAAUAAUUAAAUCAGGCCCAAACAAACAAAUAAUGCCACAUCGCAUGAGUGUAAGGCAAGAGAACCGCUCAUUCUAACGGAAAGCCCAAGCAGUAAGCUAUGUGAGAAUUUGAUUGACGAUGCUUAAAAGCAAUCGACUUACAGGUAUGGAAAUCGGGCUCGACAUUUUGAACGACGGAACAAUAUAUUACGUUUAGAUCAGUUUAAAAUGUUUGAAUGAAUUGAGUGAAAAAUUGAACAAGAAGCAGAGCACACCCAUUAGUUAUAACUAAAAACGAUAAACAUACAAUAAAAAUCGAAAAAAAAAUUACAAAUGUAAAAGACACAACUAAUGCCUACAAUUACGAGUUCGAACACCUGUGCUUCACUAAAGACCCGAAAUACACCCUCUCUCCACCCAAGCCACUUAUGACUAGUUGUUAUUUCUGAUGCUGGAUUGGAAGAAUAGACUAAGCAUUGGUUGAAAAAAUUGGAAUUAAAAUAAAAACCCUACAGCAAAAAAGAAACUGUGACUGGACCCUAUUAAACCCACGCCGCUGGGCGCUGUUGGGUCUCUGUUAACAUAGUGAGAUGGGAAUCAAAACAUAAGUUAAUGUAUAUAUUAAAUUGAAAACAUUUAAAAAUGAAAACCUAGAAAGUAUUAAUCAUUAAAAAGAACUUAAUGGUUUGGCCAUGUUUAUCCUCGUUAAAAAUAAAUUAAAAUAAAAAGAAAAGGAGACAGAGUAGCAGUUUCAUCGUCCUCUGUAUCCCCAUCUGCUCUCACAAAAAACGCCCUCAAUGAAACUCUCUCUGCUCUCGAAAACGCUCAUCAACACCAACUUUCUCACUCACACCAAAACCUCACAUUUCUCUCACCAAAAUCCUCUUUCAAUCGGCGUCUCCACAAUUCUCACGAACUCCAAAC